rfam:Myotis davidii contig115771, whole genome shotgun sequence.
GGUGGUUCUCGGGUGAUGCACCCCAGAAUUGGGCUCCCUCCUCUCUGGUUCCAGGUGCAUCACUCAAGAACUGCA